rnacentral:tRNA from 1 species
GUUUUAAUAGUUUAAACAAAACGCUGGUCUUGUAAGUCAGUAAUAGAAGAAAUUUCUUUAAAACU